UAGGGAAUCUUCCGCAAUGGGCGAAAGCCUGACGGAGCAACGCCGCGUGAGUGAUGAAGGUCUUCGGAUCGUAAAACUCUGUUAUUAGGGAAGAACAAAUGUGUAAGUAACUAUGCACGUCUUGACGGUACCUAAUCAGAAAGCCACGGCUAACUACGUGCCAGCAGCCGCGGUAAUACGUAGGUGGCAAGCGUUAUCCGGAAUUAUUGGGCGUAAAGCGCGCGUAGGCGGUUUUUUAAGUCUGAUGUGAAAGCCCACGGCACAACCGUGGAGGGUCAUUGGAAGCUGGAAAACUUGAGUGCAGAAGAGGAAAGUGGAAUUCCAUGUGUAGCGGUGAAAUGCGCAGAGAUAUGGAGGAACACCAGUGGCGAAGGCGACUUUCUGGUCUGUAACUGACGCUGAUGUGCGAAAGCGUGGGGAUCAAACAGG
rnacentral:rRNA from 1 species